rnacentral:rRNA from 1 species
GAAACUUGGGCUAAUACUGGAUACGUCCGUGAGGAGAAAGAUUUAUCGCCGAAGGAUUGGCCCGCGUAAGAUUAGCUAGUUGGUGAGGUAACGGCUCACCAAGGCUAUGAUCUUUAGCUGGUCUGAGAGGACGAUCAGCCACACUGGGACUGAGACACGGCCCAGACUCCUACGGGAGGCAGCAGUGGGGAAUAUUGGACAAUGGGCGCAAGCCUGAUCCAGCCAUGCCGCGUGAGUGAUGAAGGCCUUAGGGUUGUAAAGCUCUUUCGGCGGGGACGAUAAUGACGGUACCCGCAGAAGAAGCCCCGGCUAACUUCGUGCCAGCAGCCGCGGUAAUACGAAGGGGGCUAGCGUUGCUCGGAAUCACUGGGCGUAAAGCGCACGUAGGCGGGUUGCCAAGUCGGGGGUGAAAUCCUGGAGCUCAACCCCAGAACUGCCUUCGAUACUGGCGAUCUUGGAGUCCGGGAGAGGUGAGUGGAACUGCGAGUGUAGAGGUGAAAUUCGUAGAUAUUCGCAAGAACACCAGUGGCGAAGGCGGCUCACUGGCCCGGUACUGACGCUGAGGUCGAAAGCGUGGG